rnacentral:piRNA from 1 species
UGAUGAGGUUCUUUUCCCUUCAUGGAUAUC